ACUGCUCAGUAACACGUGGACAACCUACCCUGAGGUCGGGGAUAAACCCGGGAAACUGGGUAUAAUACCCGAUAGAUCUAGAUCGCUGGAAUGCUUUUAGGUCUAAAGUUCCGACGCCUCAGGAUGGGUCUGCGGCCUAUCAGGGUAGUAGUGGGUGUAAAGUACCUACUAGCCUACGACGGGUACGGGUUGUGGGAGCAAGAGCCCGGAGAUGGAUUCUGAGACACGAAUCCAGGCCCUACGGGGUGCAGCAGGCGCGAAACCUUUACAAUGCUGGCAACAGCGAUAAGGGGACCUCGAGUGCUACGAUACAAUCGUGGCUGUCUAGUUGCCUAAAAAGCAAUUGAUAGCAAGGGCCGGGCAAGACCGGUGCCAGCCGCCGCGGUAACACCGGCGGCUCGAGUGGUAACCGCUAUUAUUGGGUCUAAAGGGUCUGUAGCCGGCUUAGUUAGUCUCUUGAGAAAUCUGGCCGCUCAACGGUCAGGCGUUCAGGGGAUACUGCUAAAGCUCGAGACCGGGAGAGGUGAGAGGUACUUCAGGGGUAGGGGUGAAAUCUUGUAAUCCUUGAAGGACCACCAGUGGCGAAGGCGUCUCACCAGAACGGAUCUGACGGCAAGGGACGAAAGCUAGGGGCACGAACCGGAUUAGAUACCCGGGUAGUCCUAGCCGUAAACGAUACUCGCUAGGUGUCGGCCACGGUGCGACCGUGGUCGGUGCCGUAGGGAAGCCGUGAAGCGAGCCACCUGGGAAGUACGGCCGCAAGGCUGAAACUUAAAGGAAUUGGCGGGGGAGCAC
rnacentral:rRNA from 1 species